rnacentral:rRNA from 1 species
GUGAAAAGUACCCCGGGAGGGGAGUGAAAUAGUACCUGAAACCGUGUGCUUACAAUCCGUCAGAGCGCCUUUUUGUGGUGUGAUGGCGUGCCUUUUGAAGAAUGAGCCUGCGAGUCAGCGGCAUGUCGCGAGGUUAACACGUGUGUGGUAGCCGUAGGGAAACCGAAUCCUAAUGAGGGUGAAUGAGUGGCAUGUCCUGGACCCGAAGCGAAGUGAUCUACCCAUGGCCAGUGUGAAGCAGCUGUAAGAGGUUGUGGAGGCGCGAACCCACUUAGGUUGAAAACUGAGGGGAUGAGUUGUGGGUAGGGGUGAAAGGCCAAUCAAACUUCGUGAUAGCUGGUUCUCCCCGAAAUGCAUUUAGGUGCAGCGUCGUGUGUUUCUUGCCGGAGGUAGAGCUACUGGAUGGUUUAGCGGGACCAACAUCUUAGCGACAUCAGCCAAACUCCGAAUGCCGGUAAGUGAGAGCGCGGCAGUGAGACUGCGGGGGAUAAGCUUCGUAGUCGAGAGGGAAACAGCCCAGAUCGCCGGCUAAGGCCCCUAAGCGUGUACUAAGUGGAAAAGGAUGUGGGAUCGCGAAGACAACCAGGAGGUUGGCUUAGAAGCAGCCAUCCUUGAAAGAGUGCGUAAUAGCUCACUGGUCGAGUGGUUCUGCGCCGACAAUGUAGUGGGGCUCAAGUACACCGCCGAAGCCGCGGCACUCAUACUUUUGUGUGUGGGUGGGUAGGGGAGCGUCGUGCAUAAUGUGAAGCUGCCGAGUGAUCGUUGUGGUGGAGUGUGUGCGAGUGAGAAUGCAGGCAUGAGUAGCGAAUGAUGAGUGAAAAACUCAUCCGCCGGAUGACCAAGGGUUCCUGGGUUAAGCUAAUCUUCCCAGGGUGAGUCGGGACCUAAGGCGAGGCCGACAGGCGUAGUCGAUGGACAACCAGUUGAUAUUCUGGUACCCGGAUGGAAGCGCCCGUGGUGAAUCAGUGAUACUAACCGCCCUGAAGCCUGAUGGCAGUCUUUUGGAUUGUUGUUGGUGUGGAUGCGUGGGAUCUGAUCUGGUAGUAGCCAAGCGAUGGUGUGACACAGGAAGGUAGCCGAGCCACUGAGUGGAUUGUGGUGUAAGCGUGUAGCCCGCAUGGUAGGUAAAUCCGCUGUGCAUGGUGGGUGAGGCGUGAUGCGUACCCCUUUUGUUGGGGGAUGUUGGUGAUCCUAUGCUGUCGAGAAAAGCAUCUAGCGAUGUUUCCAUCUGGCCCGUACCCCAAACCGACACAGGUGGUCAGGUAGAGAAUACUAAGGCGAUCGGGUGAACUGUGGUUAAGGAACUCGGCAAAAUGCCCCCGUAACUUCGGGAGAAGGGGGACCACUGCUGGUGACAGACUGGUUUUGAGCUGGUGGUGGUCGCAGAGAAUAGAGGGAAGCGACUGUUUACUAAAAACACAGGUCCAUGCGAAGACGAUAAGUCGAUGUAUAUGGACUGACGCCUGCCCGGUGCUGGAAGGUUAAGAGGACCUGUUAGUCACUUUGGUGGCGAAGCGGAGAAUUUAAGCCCCAGUAAACGGCGGUGGUAACUAUAACCAUCCUAAGGUAGCGAAAUUCCUUGUCGGGUAAGUUCCGACCUGCACGAAUGGCGUAACGACUUCCCUGCUGUCUCAACCACAGGCCCGGCGAAAUUGCAGUACGAGUAAAGAUGCUCGUUACGCGCGGCAGGACGAAAAGACCCCGGGACCUUCACUAUAGCUUGGUAUUGAUAUUCGGUUCGGUUUGUGUAGGAUAGGUGGGAGACUGUGAUCACAUGACGCCAGUUGUGUGGGAGUCGUUGUUGAAAUACCACUCUGGUCGUAUUGGAUAUCUUAACCUCGGCCCAUGAUCUGGGUUAGGGACAGUGCCUGGUGGGUAGUUUAACUGGGGCGGUUGCCUCCUAAAGAGUAACGGAGGCGCCCAAAGGUUUCCUCAGCCUGGUUGGCAAUCAGGUGGUGAGUGUAAGUGCACAAGGGAGCUUGACUGUGAGACUGACAGGUCGAGCAGGUACGAAAGUAGGGACUAGUGAUCCGGCACUGGCUUGUGGAAGCGGUGUCGCUCAACGGAUAAAAGGUACCCCGGGGAUAACAGGCUGAUCUUCCCCAA